GAUGAAGAACGCAGCGAAAUGCGAUAAGUAGUGUGAAUUGCAGAAUUCAGUGAAUCAUCGAAUCUUUGAACGCACAUUGCGCCCCUUGGUAUUCCAUGGGGCAUGCCUGUUCGAGCGUCAUUUGUACCUUCAAGCUCUGCUUGGUGUUGGGUGUUUGUCCUUGCUCUAGUGGCGGGACUCGCCUUAAAGUAAUUGGCAGCCAGUGUUUUGGUUUUGAAGCGCAGCACAAGUCGCGAUUCAAGUCUAUACGCUAGUUUCCACAAGUCUUUUAUCACUUUUGACCUCGGAUCAGGUAGGGAUACACGCUGAACUUAAGCAUAUCAAUAAGCGGAGGA
rnacentral:misc_RNA from 1 species